CCCACAGCCGCCAGUGAGGAGCCGGCCAGGCCCAGGGCCGCGAGGGGGCCUUAAAGCACAUCCAGGUGCUGCAGAAACAACUGCUUCCAGUUGACCCGGCCUGAGAAGCACUGUGGCGGCGGCAGCUAAGUCUGUGCCUCGAGGUCACGGGGAGGCUGCGUUCUGCCGCCCCAGGGGGUCCCCAGGAGCCCAAACGGGGAGAAGAAAAAGACAAAGACAAAGGAGAGGCCACAGCAAAGCGCGCAGGGGAGAGUCUGGAGAGCAACCGAGCGGAUGCAGAACCCGAAGCCACUGGGCGUCGGGGCCUUGGCCGGCGAGUCCCGAGUCCUUAUCAACGGAAAGCGACAAGAUCCCUUAGUUGAGGCUCAUGAAAUGAAAAGGAAUUGAAAAUGAAAAUGCAAUAAAAGUCCUCAAAAUACGUGUGCAAGAUGCAAGAUGCCAGGAAUCUCCUGGCCGUGGCAUUCGGGGUUAGAGAGUACGGCGUAAAUCACAAGACCCAACUGGCUGGUCUUCCUUCUGAGGACUUAUUUGGCUGAAAAUUAAAAAUUCUUUCAAAAAUAUGCAUUAUUUCUAGAACUCCAAAAAUGCAACUUCUCUAUUAAUAUAAUCAUAACUAAGAAAGCCAUGCAAAUUUUAAAGCACUUUACCAAAAAAAAUUAAAAAAAGAAACAGGAUGCUGUAAGAACCAUUUUCUAGUUUUUCUAGUUCGUGUUCAAAGUUCUUAAGUUUGUGAAUAGGUUAGCUUUUUAUAAAUUCCAGCCAGAAUACAAUGUACAAUCCAUCUAAAAUUGAGAAGUAUUUACGGUUGGGGAAAAAGGGGGGGUCUUAUUAUUUCUAAGCUGCUUUUUCACUUACCGCCGGCGUCCUGUGUGCUCCGCUGUGUCUGAGGUGCUCCCCAGGACACACAGAAUAAAGAACGGUCAGCAGCGCGGGGCUCGGAGGAAACGGGGUUGUCAGCAGCUGCUACAGGAAGAGCUCGGCCCCAGGAUGAGCUCCGGCCCGGGACUAGCUCGGGCCCAGGAUGAGCUGGGGGCCCUGGGGCCUUGCAGCUUAAUUUAGGGGCUACACACAAAGCCCCCGUGUGCUCAGACACCUUUUUUCAAUGUGACAGAUGUAUUUCAAGAGCUGUUUGAUGUUUCCACGACCUGUAACUGACUGAACCCUUGAGAACUUUAAGUUCAGACACCUGCUUUAAAUUACAGACAUCUAACUGAAAAAUAAAUACCUCUCAGGUUUU